GUAGGGUGCAAGCGUUGUCCGGAAUUACUGGGCGUAAAGAGUUCGUAGGCGGUUUGUCGCGUCGUUUGUGAAAAACCAGCAGCUCAACUGCUGGCUUGCAGGCGAUACGGGCAGACUUGAGUACUGCAGGGGAGACUGGAAUUCCUGGUGUAGCGGUGAAAUGCGCAGAUAUCAGGAGGAACACCGGUGGCGAAGGCGGGUCUCUGGGCAGUAACUGACGCUGAGGAACGAAAGCGUGGGUAGCGAACAGGAUUAGAUACCCUGGUAGUCCACGCCGUAAACGGUGGGCGCUAGGUGUGGGUUCCUUCCACGGAAUCCGUGCCGUAGCUAACGCAUUAAGCGCCCUGCCUGGGGAGUACGGCCGCAAAGGCUA
rnacentral:rRNA from 1 species